rnacentral:rRNA from 1 species
GAGAAGUGCGGGAAGAGGGGGGGGGGAAUAAGGAUGGUGCAAGUGUAGGUCUGGAGCACGGGGCGUAAAGGGCGCGCAGGGGGGUUGGUAAGUCAGAGGGAAAAGCCCACGGCUAAACCGUGGAAGUGCAUUGGAAACGGGGAGACUAGAGUAUCAGAGGGGAAAGUGGAAUUCCCGGUGUAGAGGUGAAAUUCGUAGAUAUCGGGAGGAAUACCGGUGGCGAAGGCGACUUUCUGGCUGAAUACUGACGCUGAGGCGCGAAAGCGUGGGGAGCAAACAGGAUUAGAUACCCUGGUAGUC